rnacentral:rRNA from 1 species
AGUGAACGCUGGCGGUAGGCCUAACACAUGCAAGUCGAACGGCAGCACAGUAAGAGCUUGCUCUUACGGGUGGCGAGUAUCGGACGGGUGAGGAAUACAUCGGAAUCUACUUUUUCGUGGGGGAUAACGUAGGGAAACUUACUCUAAUACCGCAUACGACCUACUGGUGAAAGCAGGGGAUCUUCGGACCUUGCGCGAUUGAAUUAGCCGAUCUCGGAUUAGCUAGGUGGCGGGUUAAAGGCCCACCAAGGCGACGAUCCGUAGCUGGUCUGAGAGGAUGAUCAGCCACACUGGAACUGAGACACGGUACAGACACCUAGGGGAGGACGCAGUGGGGAAUAUUGGACAAUGGGCGCAAGCGUGAUCCAGCCAUACCGCGUGGGUGAAGACGGACUUCGGGUUGGAAAGUCAUUUUGUUGGGAAAGAAAAGCAGCAGUUUAACACCCCGCGGUUCUGACGGUACCCAAAGAAGAAGCACCGGCUAACUUCGUG